rnacentral:rRNA from 1 species
UUGAUCCUGGCUCAGGACGAACGCUGGCGGCACGCUUAACACAUGCAAGUCGAACGAGAGAAGAGAAGCUUGCUUUUCUGAUCUAGUGGCGGACGGGUGAGUAACACGUGAGCAAUCUGCCUUUCAGAGGGGGAUACCGAUUGGAAACGAUCGUUAAUACCGCAUAACAUAAUUGAACCGCAUGAUUUGAUUAUCAAAGAUUUAUCGCUGAAAGAUGAGCUCGCGUCUGAUUAGCUAGUUGGUAAGGUAACGGCUUACCAAGGCGACGAUCAGUAGCCGGACUGAGAGGUUGAUCGGCCACAUUGGGACUGAGACACGGCCCAGACUCCUACGGGAGGCAGCAGUGGGGAAUAUUGCACAAUGGAGGAAACUCUGAUGCAGCGAUGCCGCGUGAGGGAAGAAGGUUUUAGGAUUGUAAACCUCUGUCUUCAGGGACGAAAAAAGACGGUACCUGAGGAGGAAGCUCCGGCUAACUACGUGCCAGCAGCCGCGGUAAUACGUAGGGAGCGAGCGUUGUCCGGAAUUACUGGGUGUAAAGGGAGCGUAGGCGGGAUCGCAAGUCAGAUGUGAAAACUAUGGGCUUAACCCAUAAACUGCAUUUGAAACUGUGGUUCUUGAGUGAAGUAGAGGUAAGCGGAAUUCCUAGUGUAGCGGUGAAAUGCGUAGAUAUUAGGAGGAACAUCAGUGGCGAAGGCGGCUUACUGGGCUUUAACUGACGCUGAGGCUCGAAAGCGUGGGGAGCAAACAGGAUUAGAUACCCUGGUAGUCCACGCCGUAAACGAUGAUUACUAGGUGUGGGGGGACUGACCCCUUCCGUGCCGCAGCAAACGCAAUAAGUAAUCCACCUGGGGAGUACGACCGCAAGGUUGAAACUCAAAGGAAUUGACGGGGGCCCGCACAAGCAGUGGAGUAUGUGGAUUAAUUCGAAGCAACGCGAAGAACCUUACCAGGUCUUGACAUCGUAUGCAUAGCUCAGAGAUGAGUGAAAUCUCUUCGGAGACAUAUAGACAGGUGGUGCAUGGUUGUCGUCAGCUCGUGUCGUGAGAUGUUGGGUUAAGUCCCGCAACGAGCGCAACCCUUACUGUUAGUUGCUACGCAAGAGCACUCUAGCAGGACUGCCGUUGACAAAACGGAGGAAGGUGGGGAUGACGUCAAAUCAUCAUGCCCCUUAUGACCUGGGCCUCACACGUACUACAAUGGCUGUUAACAGAGGGAUGCAAAGCCGCGAGGUGGAGCGAACCCCUAAAAGCAGUCUUAGUUCGGAUUGUAGGCUGCAACCCGCCUACAUGAAGUCGGAAUUGCUAGUAAUCGCAGAUCAGCAUGCUGCGGUGAAUACGUUCCCGGGCCU